AAUGAACGUUGGCGGCGUGGAUUAGGCAUGCAAGUCGAGCGAGAACCCCGCAAGGGGGACAGCGGCAAACGGGGUAGUAAUGUGUCGGAACGUGCCCAGAGGACGGGGAUAGCGGCGGGAAACUGCCGGUAAUACCCGAUGAUCUCGAGAGAGCAAAGGUGUGAUUCCGCCUUUGGAGCGGCCGACAUGGUAUUAGCUAGUUGGCGGGGUAACGGCCCACCAAGGCUGUGAUGCCUAGGGGAUGUGAGAGCAUGAUCCCCACCAUUGGGACUGAGACACUGCCCAGACACCUACGGGUGGCUGCAGUCGAGAAUCUUCGUCAAUGGGCGAAAGCCUGUACGAGCGACGCCGCGUGCGGGAUGAAGGCCCUUGGGUUGUAAACCGCUGUCGAGGGGGAUGAAGGCUUGAAGGUACUCCUUCAAGUUUGACAGAGCCCUGGAGGAAGCGACGGGCUAAGUUCGUGCCAGCAGCCGCGGUAAU
rnacentral:rRNA from 1 species